GCAUAUCAAUAAGCGGAGGAAAAGAAACCAACAGGGAUUGCCCUAGUAACGGCGAGUGAAGCGGCAACAGCUCAAAUUUGAAAUCUGGCUCUUUCAGGUCCGAGUUGUAAUUUGCAGAGGGCGCUUUGGCAUUGGCAGCGGUCCAAGUUCCUUGGAACAGGACGUCACAGAGGGUGAGAAUCCCGUACGUGGUCGCUGGCCUUCGCCGUGUAAAGCCCCUUCGACGAGUCGAGUUGUUUGGGAAUGCAGCUCUAAAUGGGAGGUAAAUUUCUUCUAAAGCUAAAUACUGGCCAGAGACCGAUAGCGCACAAGUAGAGUGAUCGAAAGAUGAAAAGCACUUUGGAAAGAGAGUCAAAUAGCACGUGAAAUUGUUGAAAGGGAAGCGCUUGCAGCCAGACUUGCCUGUAGUUGCUCAUCCGGGCUUUUGCCCGGUGCACUCUUCUGCGGGCAGGCCAGCAUCAGUUUGGGCGGUUGGAUAAAGGUCUCUGUCAUGUACCUCUCUUCGGGGAGGCCUUAUAGGGGAGACGACAUGCAACCAGCCUGGACUGAGGUCCGCGCAUUUGCUAGGAUGCUGGCGUAAUGGCUGUAAGCGGCCCGUCUUGAAACACGGACCAAGGAGUCUAACAUCUAUGCGAGUGUUUGGGUGUCAAGCCCGAGCGCGUAAUGAAAGUGAACGGAGGUGGGACCCCAUUAGGGUGCACCAUCGACCGAUCCUGAUGUCUUCGGAUGGAUUUGAGUAAGAGCAUGGCUGUUGGGACCCGAAAAGAUGGUGAACUAUGCUUGAAUAGGGUGAAGCCAGAGGAAACUCUGGUGGAGGCUCGCAGCGGUUCUGACGUGCAAAUCGAUCGUCAAAUUUGGGCAUAGGGGCGAAAGACUAAUCGAACUAUCUAGUAGCUGGUUCUGCCGAAGUUU
rnacentral:rRNA from 1 species